UGGCGGACGGGUGAGAAACGCGUGGGUAACCUGCCUCAUACAGGGGGAUAACAGUUAGAAAUGGCUGCUAAUACCGCAUAAGCGCACAGUGUCACAUGACACAGUGUGAAAAACUCCGGUGGUAUGAGAUGGACCCGCGUCUGAUUAGCUAGUUGGUAAGGUAACGGCCUACCAAGGCAACGAUCAGUAGCCGACCUGAGAGGGUGAUCGGCCACAUUGGGACUGAGACACGGCCCAAACUCCUACGGGAGGCAGCAGUGGGGAAUAUUGCACAAUGGGGGAAACCCUGAUGCAGCGACGCCGCGUGAAGGAAGACGUAUUUCGGUAUGUAAACUUCUAUCAGCAAGGAAGAUAAUGACGGUACUUGACUAAGAAGCCCCGGCUAACUACGUGCCAGCAGCCGCGGUAAUA
rnacentral:rRNA from 1 species